GCCUCUUUAGCUCAGUGGUAGAGCACAGGUCUUGUAAACCUGGGGUCGUGAGUUCAAUCCUCACAGGAGGCA